AACAAUUUCCAUCUGCAAACCAGCAUUUUGUGUUCUGUUACAACACACAAGAUGAAAUGGUUCUGCUGUUUUACCACACUGGAUGGAACCAGUUUCUCUCAACUCCACACUGAUGAGAUGUCUCGCUGUAUGAAGGGAACCUGCAACUAUUUCCCUUUGACUCUACCCCCUCCUUUGGUAUCAACAUCUUCAUUAUUGGCUGAAAGAUAAGCAAAAGCUAUGUCUUGCUGUAUGAAGGGAACCUGCAACUAUUUCCCUUUGACUCUACCCCCUCCUUUGGUAUCAACAUCUUCAUUAUUGGCUGAAAGAUAAGCAAAAGCUAUGUCUUGCUGUAUGAAAGGAACCUGCAACUAUUUCCCUUUGACUCUACCCCCUCCUUUGGUAUCAACAUCUUCAUUAUUGGCUGAAAGAUAAGCAAAAGCUAUGUCUUGCUGUAUGAAGGGAACCUGCAACUAUUUCCCUUUGACUCUACCCCCUCCUUUGGUAUCAACAUCUUCAUUAUUGGCUGAAAGAUAAGCAAAAGCUAUGUCUUGCUGUAUGAAAGGAACCUGCAACUAUUUCCCUUUGACUCUACCCCCUCCUUUGGUAUCAACAUCUUCAUUAUUGGCUGAAAGAUAAGCAAAAGCUAUGUCUUGCUGUAUGAAAGGAACCUGCAACUAUUUCCCUUUGACUCUACCCCCUCCUUUGGUAUUAACAUCUUCAUUAUUGGCUGAAAGAUAAGCAAAAGCUAUGUCUUGCUGUAUGAAGGGAACCUGCAACUAUUUCCCUUUGACUCUACCCCCUCCUUUGGUAUCAACAUCUUCAUUAUUGGCUGAAAGAUAAGCAAAAGCUAUGUCUUGCUGUAUGAAGGGAACCUGCAACUAUUUCCCUUUGACUCUACCCCCUCCUUUGGUAUCAACAUCUUCAUUAUUGGCUGAAAGAUAAGCAAAAGCUGAACAGGCAAAAGGGCACAGUAGGUCAAAGGUCAGAAGAAAAUAAACUUUUGCCAAUGUCAUUGCCUCUAUUACAAUGAAAGUAAAGGUUUGACACUAGCUUUGUGAAGAAAAAAAAACAUAUAAUAGCUUUAAAAAUAGGAAACUGUGUAUAUACCCACCAGCUUUAAUGUAACACUAGUGUAACUGCACUUAUAUCUGCCUAAGCGGAGCUUGAUUGGGUUCAUAAAAUCCCACAGAAAUCAUCAAAGUUAAUGUGAAGAGCAUCACCAGCCCUAACUUCCAUCUGACCCUCAGCAGGAGCCUUUAGUUCAAAAACCAGCUGCUGUGAUUUACAGAGGCCCUGGCAUCACUCCAGUUAUCUUUAAACAUUUGACAUCAAGCCUAUGAAAAGAGGGAACAACCAAUCAGAACUUAAAAACAGCAUUUAUUCACAUAGUAAAGAACACAACAUCUAUCUAAAGAAAACUAUUAUAAUAGAAAAUAUGAUAACACCAAUUAUUGAUAAUUGAAAGGGCAAAAGGGCACAGUGGGUCAAAGGUCAGAAGAAAAUAAACUUUUGCCAAUGUCAAUGCCUCACCUACAAUGAAAGUAAAUAUUUGACACUAGCUUUGUGAAGAUAAAAAAAACAUAUAAUAAUUAUAUGUUGGUAGAAACAAUAAAGUAUAUUUUGGUCACAUCACCCAAGAAUGCAGCACAUCAUUAGGACACAUUCUGAAGGAUAAAAGCUUAGUUUAACACAUGAGCAUAUAAUAUCAGAACCAUAUCAAUACAGGUGUAUGCACCAAGUGGGGAAAAUCAAAGUCAUUGGAAGGAUUUUUAACCACGCAAGUAUUUACAAAAAACAAAAAAGAGUUAUGUGUAUGAAUAAUUUAUGAUUAUAAAAGGCUGAAAUCAUACAAACACAAAGCAUAAAAUGUUAUAUUUUCUACUGCAUAAUGUUUUGCAUUUUGCCAGUACUAGUAACUCUGACUGGUGAUGGAAUUUCUUUUGGUAAUAAACCUUUUAAAAAACAUUUCAUUAAAGUCCUCCUAUAUAUCAAAUUGUUAUCCAAACAGAUACCAAAUCAAAACUCAUGUUGUUAAACAUUAGGUUAUAUUUAAGAAGCUUUGCUAGUGGAGUAUGCAAUGUGUUUGCUUGAAGUCUGCCUCAGUUUGGGAUGUCAGCUGGUGUCUAGGUUUAAAACGGGCUUUUCACGAUUGUGCAGCGACCAGGCUGAAAUACAUGCAAAACUAUUCAGAUUACUUAUUUAACACUAAUCACAACAAAUGCCAUCUCAAGGCGUCUACAAAAAUUAUAAAGAAAGAAAAAUUUAAUUGCUUGAAAAAAUUAUACUGAACUUAUGAUAGUAAUAUCUGAUAUUUACUUUAUGAAUAAGUACAACUGUUGGAUUCAGUGUUGAUCGCAGCAUGAUGUGAAAAGCCUUGAGAUAUGUGUUCCUCUUUGUCAGGGUAAAACUGCUUAGAUUAAUAGCAGUUUUUUUUUAAGCACUGGAAUACAAGAUAUUUUGGUAGGUAGAUGUAAUUUGCUACCACCUUUACCUUUUGUAAUGAUUAAAACAAAUGAACUGUUAAUAUAUUUUUUUCUAGGAACUAGGCUAUAAAUUAUGCUUAUUCUUGUGCUUUAAAAUCUCGUAUUCCAUGUUUCGUAAAUUCCUAAUUUUGAAGUAUAUGUUUGGUGUUUUAUGGUCAAUUCAAUAUUAGAGUAUGUAACAGUUUGUUGGAAAUCAUCUGCCUUUAACUGGCAUUGAGAUAUGCUUUUUGCAACACAUUUUUGUCCAUCCCUAUGAAUCACGUGUUUAGUUUGUGUAUUUAUUAUUUCACUAUUUUGGUUUUCAGCACUUGUAUUAGAUCUGUGAGUUAAAUGAGCUACUGUUUUUUGGAAUCCCCAGCCGGCCUUGGCAGAAGGCUGCUCACACUGAGUCUGGUUCUGCUGGAGGUUUCUUCCUCUUAAGUAGGGAGUUUUUCCUCUCCACUGUCGCUACAUGCUUGCUUGGUGUGAGGGAUUGCUACAAAGUCAGCGACACAAUGCAGGUGAAUGUCU